AGGAAGUGAAAGUCACACAGUCGGAGCCACAGAGAGGAGACAUGGCGCAGAAAGGAGUUGAGCUGGACAGAGAGAGCUUCUCUUGUUCCAUCUGUCUGGAUCUCCUGAAGGAUCCGGUGACUAUUCCCUGUGGACACAGCUACUGCAUGGAGUGUAUUCAAAGCUUCUGGGGUGAAGAGGAUGAGGAGAAAAUCCACAGCUGCCCUCAGUGCAGGCAGACGUUCACAGCCAGGCCUGUCCUGGUGAAAAGCACCAUGUUGGCAGCUCUGAUGGAGGAGCUGAAGAGGAGCGGACUUCAAGCUGCUCCUGCUGAUCACUGCUAUGCUGGAGCUGAAGAUGUGGCCUGUGAUGUCUGCACUGGAAGAAAACUCAAAGCUUUCAAGUCCUGUGUGGUGUGUGUGGCCUCUUUCUGUGAGCAGCACCUUCAGCCUCAUUAUGAUUCAGCUGCUUUCAAGAAGCACAAGCUGGUGGAUCCCUCCAAGACGCUGCAGGACAACAUGUGCUCUCGUCACGAUGAGGUGAUGAAGAUGUUCUGCCGCACCGAUCAGCAGUGCAUCUGUUUCCUCUGCUCUGUGGACCAACACAAAGGCCACAACACAGUGUCAGCUGCAGCAGAGAGGACGGAGAGGCAGAGGGAGCUGGAGGAGAGUCGACAGAUCAUCCAGCAGAGGAUCCAGGACGCAGAGAAAGACGUGAAGCUGCUGGAACAGGAGGCGAAGAACAUCCAUGUCUCUGCUGAUCAGACAGUGGAGGACUGUGAGAAGACCUUCAGCCAGCUGAUCCGUCUCCUCCAGGAAAGAAGCAGAGAUGUUGAGCAGCAGGUCAGAUCCCAGCAGCAAACAGAGGUGAGUCGAGUGCGAGAGCUUCAGGAGAAGCUGGAGCAGGAGAUCGCUGAGCUGAAGAGGACAGACGGCCAGCUGGAGCAGCUCUCACACACAGAGGAUCACACAGAGUUUCUGCUCAGCUUCCCCUCACUGUCAGCUCUCAGUGAGUCCACACACUCAUCCAGCUUCCACACUGCUCCUCUCAGAUACUUUGAGGAUGUGACAGCAGCUGUGUCAGAGGCCCGAGACAAACUCCAGAACAUCCUGAGUGAAACAUGGACAAACAUCUCACUGAGAGUGACUGAAGUGGAUGUUUUACUGCCACAACCAGAGCCAACGACCAGAGCUGCUUUCUUCAGAUACUCACGUGAACUCACACUGGAUCCAAACACAGCAAACAAAAUGCUGUUAUUAUCAGAGGGAAACAGGAAAGUCACAUUAAUGAAGAAUGAACAGUCUUAUUCUGAACAUCCAGACAGAUUCACUAGAUGGUGGCAGGUUGUGAGUAGAGAAAGUCUGACUGGACGUUGUUACUGGGAGGUGGAGAUGAGAGGAGACGUUCUUGUAGCAGUCGCAUAUAAGAAUAUCAGCAGAGGAGAUGGGGGUGACAGCCGUUUUGGUCAAAAUGACAAGUCAUGGGCUUUACGUUGUUCCAACAACAGUUAUAGAUUUGAUCACAACAAAGUUGAAACUCCAGUGUCAGGUCCUCCGUCCUCCAGAGUGGGAGUGUUCCUGGAUCACACAGCAGGUAUUCUGUCCUUCUACAGCGUCUCUGAGACCACGACUCUCCUCCACAGAGUCCAGACCACAUUCACUCAGCCUCUCCUCGCUGGAGUCUGGUUCACUGGAAAUAGAUGGUCUCCCUCUGAAGCAAGUGCAGAGUUGAUGAAGCUGAAAUAGACUGAGGUCACAUCAGGAGCAGUGAUUUGGUUCCAUCCUGUAAUUUGACUCAUUGAGUCUCCUUGUUGUUUUCUUUCUCCGCUGCACACAGAUCAGCUGUCAAACAGCCUUCGUCAGCACUUGUUCAUCUUUUCUUCUUCUG